rnacentral:rRNA from 1 species
UACGGGGGGGGCAAGCGUUGUUCGGAAUUACUGGGCGUAAAGGGCUCGUAGGCGGCCAACUAAGUCAUACGUGAAAUCCCUCGGCUUAACCGGGGAACUGCGUCUGAUACUGGAUGGCUUGAGUUUGGGAGAGGGAUGCGGAAUUCCAGGUGUAGCGGUGAAGUGCGUAGAUAUCUGGAGGAACACCGGUGGCGAAGGCGGCAUCCUGGACCAACACUGACACUGAUGAGCGAAAGCCAGGGGAGCAAACGGG